UUAAUACCUUUAUUCCUGAGUGCAUUUUGUAAAUUUGAUUACGUUUUUAAAAUUUAAAACCCUUAUUAGAUUAAGCUUUUGGACUUUAAAAUUUAUAUAUAAAAUUAUUAUAACAGGCUGUUAUUCCAGUUAAAUACAAGCCCUAGUACGUGUUUUAAAGAUUACAAAUACCGUUAAAAUUAGAAAUUAAAUUACUGUAUAAUUGGUGCAGUUUGCUUUUAAAAAUUCCCCCAAAAAUACAUUAUAAAAAGUGUAACCCCACCUGUCCUUUCUAAUACCGGCCCAACCCUUUAGCUACAUUAGGUAAAUAUCUUAUUAUUUAUAACCGAAAUUAUAUAAGUGAGGGGAAGGGCAGGCCGAACGCUUUCUUUUUUCCCUUUCCAACAGUGAUAACAAAAAUUGCAUUCGGGUAAUUAAAUACUAUUUGACGGUUAGCCUUACUUAUAUUAUAUUAAAUACCUUUAUUUGUUAUAAAGAGAAAAAAUAGUAGCGACCGAAUAAAUUCGUUAUACAUUCUUUUUGUGACAUUAUAGAGGAUUUGCCUUGGGAAGACUAAUAAAAGUGGCGCAAAUCGUAUAAUAUAUUUCGCCGUAUUCCGAUAAUAUCCCCUCUCGGUCCAUACAAAAACCAAUUUGCCCAAAGUUGUUGAAAUUCAACUGAGAUUUUGGAUAUUUGGAAUAUAAUAUUCGUUUCCAGUAAAAUUUAUAUUAAAUUUCCCGGAUUAAACCCGUUACCUCAAAUGGCCUUUGCAGUCGAGGUGGCAAUCGCGAAUAUAAUGCGAAGCUCCCGCCUCGGCAGCCCUUAUAUUUGCGUCCUCGCACUCCCGCAUACAGUCCCUAUAUGACGCCCGAUCUCUGCGCAGAAUUUUCGUGUUUGUAAGACGCUGGUCGACGGCGGCGGCGGCGCUGGCCAAAGCCAGAAAUGUAAAAAUAGCCGAAGUUGUUAAUUUAUAGGCAGACAUGCGUGUAAGAAAAUCACGUGUUUAACCACGUAAUCUCAUAACACGUAAAAAAAUCUUUAACGGAUUUUAACGAAUAUAUAAAUAGCUAAAAAAUAAAAACUAAAUUACGUUUAAUUUGUUAUAUUAUUUUUACCGAUCGCAACAAUUAUACGAUUCCUAUUAAUAUUAAUUAAUAUUAUUAAUGUAAAUAAUAUAAAUAAAUUAAAUAAAAAUAUUUAAAUUGCUAAUUUCCUCGGCCAACGCCGUAUUUGGAAAUAAUAACAAGGAUAUUAUAACAAUUACAAAUUCCGUACAUUAACGCGUUUAAAAUUUGUAAAUUACUAUUACGUAAAUUUUUAAAAAUACCGGUUAAAUUGUUAUAAUUUAAAUUUCCUGGAAUUUCACCAUCUAAAUUAUACCGCUAACUAAUACCCGUUCCAAACCGUUAUUUUAAACGAAAAAAAACGCUAUAUUGGAUAUAAACCCGUCAAACCGAUGUAGGUAACAAAUAUAAUUUAUAAUUCCAAAUAUAUCCGAAAACCCCAACGAAAACGAAUUUUUGUGCCAUAUAUUUAAAAAAUUUAAAGUCCGUCCCAAUAAUUAACAAAAUAUUAAUUUGGUAACGUUGGAAAACACAAUAACAAAUUUUUCGAAGUAUUCGAAUAAAAUAAUAAUUAUUUAAAAAAACGUAUAAAUUAUUAAAAUAAUUUAUAAUUUUGGAAAAUUUAAAAUAUAAAAAAAGGAAUUUCCUAUUAAAAUAUUAUAUCGACAAAUUUAAAAAUU
rnacentral:sRNA from 1 species